rnacentral:rRNA from 1 species
GCCGACGACGUCGCGAGAAGUCCACUGAACCUUAUCAUUUAGAGGAAGGAGAAGUCGUAACAAGGUUUCCGUAGGUGAACCUGCGGAAGGAUCAUUGUCGAUGCCUGCAAAGCAGAACGACCCGCGAACUGUUUCUCAACACUCGGGGCACCGUGGGGCGUCUAGCUGCCCGUUGUCCCGACGCUCCGGACGCUGAGGGUGCGAGCCACCCCCAGCGGAUGGAGCAUCAAACACACCCCGGCGUGCAAAGCGCCAAGCUACUCUAACGGUAGGGCAACACCCGUGGGCCUGGACUACAGCGYGCUCGGGUGUCUGUUCGGUAUCAUAAAUCUAAACGACUCUCGGCAACGGAUAUCUCGGCUCUCGCAUCGAUGAAGAACGUAGCGAAAUGCGAUACUUGGUGUGAAUUGCAGAAUCCCGUGAACCAUCGAGUCUUUGAACGCAAGUUGCGCCCGAAGCCUCGGCUGAGGGCACGCCUGCCUGGGUGUCACACAUCACUCUGCCUCCAAACCCUUUCCCCUGGAGAUGGUUUGGCUGCGGAAGAUGGCCUCCCGUGACCACGUGCCACGGAUGGCCUAAAUUUUUGCUGGGGAAGCGAAGCGCCACGGCAUUCGGUGGACGGCAUAGCCCCCGAGGUAAUGAAGCCGUGGUGGCCGCUAGAGUCCCCAGUCCACGACCCUAAUCACUAACCAAUGCGACCUCAGGUCAGGCGGGGCUACCCGCUGAGUUUAAGCAUAUCAAUAAGCGGAGG